rnacentral:rRNA from 1 species
UAUUGGUCAAUGGGCGCGAGCCUGAACCAGCCAAGUAGCGUGAAGGAUGACGGCCCUAUGGGUUGUAAACUUCUUUUAUAUGGGAAUAAAGUUUGGUAUGUAUACCAUUUUGUAUGUACCAUAUGAAUAAGGAUCGGCUAACUUCGUGCCAGCAGCCGCGGUAAUACGGAGGAUCCGAGCGUUAUCCGGAUUUAUUGGGUUUAAAGGGAGCGUAGGUGGAUUGUUAAGUCAGUUGUGAAAGUUUGCGGCUCAACCAUAAAAUUGCCGUUGAAACUGGUUGACUUGAGUAUAUUUGAGGUAGGCGGAAUGCGUGGUGUAGCGGUGAAAUGCAUAGAUAUCACGCAGAACUCCGAUUGCGAAGGCAGCUUACUGGACUGUUAACUGACACUGAGGCUCGAAAGUGUGGGUAUCAAACAG